rnacentral:rRNA from 1 species
UACGUAGGCAGCAAGCGUUGUUCGGAGUUACUGGGCGUAAAGGGUGCGUAGGCGGCUUUUUAAGUUUGGUGUGAAAUCUCCCGGCUCAACUGGGAGGGUGCGCCGAAUACUGAGAGGCUAGAGUGUGGGAGAGGAAAGUGGAAUUCCUGGUGUAGCGGUGAAAUGCGUAGAUAUCAGGAGGAACACCGGUGGUGUAAACGGCUUUCUGGACCAUAACUGACGCUGAUGCGCGAAAGCGUGGGUAGCAAACAGG